UACGAAGGGGGCUAGCGUUGUUCGGAAUUACUGGGCGUAAAGCGUGCGCAGGCGGCUUCUCAGGUCAGGGGUGAAAGCCCAGAGCUCAACUCUGGAAUUGCCUUUGAGACUGAGUGGCUUGAGUACGAGAGAGGUGAGUGGAAUUCCCAGUGUAGAGGUGAAAUUCGUAGAUAUUGGGAAGAACACCGGUGGCGAAGGCGGCUCACUGGCUCGUAACUGACGCUCAUGCACGACAGCGUGGGGAUCAAACAGG
rnacentral:rRNA from 1 species